rnacentral:rRNA from 1 species
GAUGAACGCUGGCGGCGUGCCUAAUACAUGCAAGUCGAGCGAACGGACGAGAAGCUUGCUUCUCUGAUGUUAGCGGCGGACGGGUGAGUAACACGUGGAUAACCUACCUAUAAGACUGGGAUAACUUCGGGAAACCGGAGCUAAUACCGGAUAAUAUUUUGAACCGCAUGGUUCAAAAGUAAAAGACGGUCUUGCUGUCACUUAUAGAUGGAUCCGCGCUGCAUUAGCUAGUUGGUAAGGUAACGGCUUACCAAGGCAACGAUGCAUAGCCGACCUGAGAGGAUGAUCGGCCACACUGGAACUGAGACACGGUCCAGACUCCUACGGGAGGCAGCAGUAGGGAAUCUUCCGCAAUGGGCGAAAGCCUGACGGAGCAACGCCGCGUGAGUGAUGAAGGUCUUCGGAUCGUAAAACUCUGUUAUUAGGGAAGAACAUAUGUGUAAGUAACUGUGCACAUCUUGACGGUACCUAAUCAGAAAGCCACGGCUAACUACGUG